AGAGUUCAAGAGUACGUGAAACCGUUCAGGGGUAAACCUGAGAAACCCGAAAGGUCGAAAGGGGAAAUUCAUUCGCGUUUCGACUGUCGAAGUGGGAUGAUCGAGUGACGGACGGCGUACGCGUCGUCCGCGCCUUUCGUUCCUCAUGAUUCGGCGUCGAACGCGUGCACUUUUCCCCUAGUAGGACGUCGCGAUCCGUCGGGUGUCGGUUUAAGGUUCGCGGUGGAGUCCGAGUGUACGUUUUCGGACGUUUCGCACUCGGACCCGCGUUAUUUCCCGACCGACUCGCUCGACGGUAUACGAACGGCGCGGGGCCGCUACACAUUAGUUAGCGUUCGGCCCGCGGCAAGCGCGUCCGGUGUUUUGACGGCGAUCGGACCUAGUGCCGGUCCUGUCCCCGAACGACUGUUGGCCGUGGUGUUCUCGAACAGACCUCGUUUUGAAACGCCGAUCUGCGACGCUAUAGCUUUGGGUACUUUCAGGACCCGUCUUGAAACACGGACCAAGGAGUCUAGCAUGUGCGCGAGUCAUUGGGACAUAACUAAACCUAAAGGCGCAAUGAAAGUGAAGGUCCGCCUCGCGCGGACCGAGGGAGGAUGAGCGGUGCGUACGUUCUUGCGCCCGUUCCGCACUCCCGGGGCGUCUCAUUCUCAUCGCGA
rnacentral:rRNA from 1 species